UCCGGCGUGGUCUAGUAGCUAAUAUAUCUGGCUUUCACCCAGGAGGCCCGGGUUCGGUUCCCGGCGUCGGAA
rfam:Ixodes scapularis strain Wikel colony gcontig_1108379642262, whole genome shotgun sequence.